CUCGAGCAGUUUCCAGUACUGGAUUGAAAAGAUGGCCUUUGCUGCAUCUGCUUGAGCAAGGAAAGCCAAGAAACCUUUGCUUUUGAAGGAGAAAAUCCAGAAAGCGGGAAGGAAGAAAAGAAGCUCCCUGACUCCUCCUGAGCCCCAGACAGCCCAUGAACUGCCUUGCUGGGAAUGGUAGGAUGGGGUGGACUCUGGAUUGCUCCCUCUGGAUGUGUGGAACUCCAGGAACUCCUGGUGCCGCCUGGGCCGAUGGAUUGGACGCCCCAGCCCCUCCGUUCCUGCCCAGCCCCUGGGUCCGUGUCCAGUGGUGGCACUGCCAGCCCUGCAGUGGGAUGUAGCCUGGAAACUGCAGAGAGCUGAGCCAAGGGAUUGAAAGGGACCAAGCAAGGGAGGUGAAGAAAGAAGGAAGAAGGGAAGUGAGGCAGCAGCCAAGCAGCAGCAAGUUGCUGUGUAAGCAGAGGGAUAAUAACUCCUGUCAGCAGUAAGGUCCUGACUGAAGUGGCAGCUGCAGUUGUUCCUGUGGUGUGGGCCAGUGGAAUUCCAAGAAAUGGACAAGGACAGAACCUGCAGAAGAGCCCAGGCCUGAGCUGGCUGAGUGUUGGUGUGAGCCAGAGUGGGUGUCCCUGCCCUGGGGCCAGUCCCCAGAGCUGCCUUUGGCAUCCCCUGCUGAAGGGUGGGAGCUGCCCAGAGCCAGCAGCAUCCAGCUGGAGGAUCCAGGAGGAUGCAGCUCUGCUUUGCUGGGAGGUAAGAGGUGGGGUGCAGGAGCUGGCAGGGGUGUUUUGCAGGCAGAGGGAGGGCAGGAGCAGGAGAAUUGCAGGUGCAGCAGCUGGGUCAGUGCUGGAUGGAGUCGGGGCUGGGAAAGGGCCCUGAGUGGCAGGGCAGGGGAGAGCCCAGGGUGGCCCUGGGAGCCCUGGGGCUGUGAACAAGUGCAGUGGGCAAAGGAAUGGGCACUGGAGAGCUGGGCAAACAGCUGGAGGAGUUGCAAGGGGAACCAGGAGACUGGAAUGCAGGAGCAGCAGCUCCCUGUGUGUGUGUGUAGAACCAGGUGUACUGCAGCCCUGAGUGAGGUGGGAAAUGAACCUCAGGAGGCUGGGAACGAGUCCCACACACUGGUUAAAGUGGGAUGGAGUCUUGCCAAGUGUCUGAAAAGCUUUUCUUCAGUGUUGCUUUAUCAGUUGAAAACUGAAGUGAUUGUCGAGGUGUUGGCAGUUGUUUUCCUGUGUCUUUGGUGAGGUGUUGACUCAGUACCUUUCUUGGAGCUGCUGUUGGAUGAAGAGGUGCCCCCAAUUGACCUGUAAGGUCCUUG